rnacentral:rRNA from 1 species
UACAGAGGCCUCGAGCGUUAGGCGGAAUCACUGGGCUUAAAGCGUGUGUAGGCGGACUUCUAAGUACCUUGUGAAAUCCCACGGCUUACCCGUGGAACUGCUGGGUAUACUGGUUGUCUUGAGCCACUUAGGGGCUACCGGAACAAAUGGUGGAGCGGUGAAAUGCGUAGAUAUCAUUUGGAACGCCAAUGGUGAAAACAGGUAGCUGGGAGUGUGCUGACGCUGAGACGCGAAAGCCAGGGGAGCGAACGGG